rnacentral:rRNA from 1 species
ACAUGCAAGUCGAACGGCAGCACGGGUGCUUGCUCCUGGUGGAAAAAAACGAACGGGUGAGUAAUAUAUCGGAACGUAUCCAAUAAUGGGGGAUAACUAAUCGAAAGGUUAGCUAAUACCGCAUACGCCCUGAGGGGGAAAGCUGGGGAUCGUAAGACCUAGCGUUGAUGGAGCGGCCGAUAUCUGAUUAGCUAGUUGGUGGGGUAAAGGCCUACCAAGGCGACGAUCAGUAGCUGGUCUGAGAGGACGACCAGCCACACUGGAUUUGGGACACGGUCCAGACUCCUACGGGAGGCAGCAGUGGGGAAUUUUGGACAAUGGGGGC